rnacentral:rRNA from 1 species
UUUCCGUAGGUGAACNUGCGGAAGGAUCAUU